AUGGAGCCGCGCAGGCCCUGCCCUUACCGUGAAGAGCUCCGGGCGGUCCUCAGCCAGACUGUCUGCCGGAAGUUAGACUGCAGGCCGUCCUCCUCCAGGCCGUCCUCCUCCAGGCCUCAGGGCCGCGGCGGCGUCCGUCCGCGCUUGCACGUGUUCCCGGAGGGCGGCCUCCUGUCGAGGCUGCUGUCGCGACCGAGGCCCUUUCGCGCUCCUCGUGCAGCCGUAAAGCGCCUCGCUGGAACUUUGCGACGGGAGCCUGGGAGGGACACCUCGCCGCGCGCAGCCGCAGAGCCCCUCGGCAGCAGGGCGGCGCUUCGAGCGCUCGGGACGGCCGCGGCCCCAGGCGACCUCCGCGUGCAGAAGGCCCGGGGCGCACGCGCAACCCGUGUGCGGACGCCCAGAGAAAAGAGAAAACACGUUGGCUUCCGCCUCCUAGGGACCCCGCACGCCCACUUUUGCCGGCUUCACGUCGUAGGCAGCAUCGUGCUGCUCCGUGAGUACGGGGAGCCAGCGGGCCUGGCGCCAACUGUGAAGUGCAGUCUCAUUCCUCCUGCAGGCGUGCAAGUACCUAGGUAUGUGGGUUAGCGGCCACCUCAGGACCUCACGUGCAAGUACCCAGAUUUACAGGUGAAAGAGUAAGUUCCAGAAUGGCUGAUACAGACAUUAAAAGGAACAGCAAAUGAGCAAGGUGCAUUGAUGAAGACUACAUGGACCUCACUCUGUGAUUAGGUACUUUAAAUAAGAUGUCUGCUUUUUUUUAAUUAAGAAAGAGACAUUCACAUUUUCCUAUGAACUGUCAGCAUUCUGUACAUGCAUGAAACAUAACACGAUAUUGUAUUUAUUUGCCUCCACAUCUAGAAUAAAAGUUAUAUGAUUAAAGAAGUUAUGAAUUGA
rnacentral:lncRNA from 12 species